rnacentral:lncRNA from 1 species
GGGGAAUAAUUAGUUACUAUAAAGUCUUCACAAAUUAGUCAUUAAUUUAAAAAUUCUAACCCAUCUACAGGUCAGCAGUAAAACACGAUACCAUUUCUGCCUCUAAAGCUAAAAUUCUGUUAUAAAGUAUUGCCUGAAUUAUAAUAAUUAUAACUAUUAAAAAUCAUAUGCUAAGGACUGAAUAUUUGUGUCCCCACAAAAUUCCUGUGUUGAAAUAAUAACUCCCAUUGUGAUGUAUUAGGAAAUGGGGACUUUGAUAGGUAAUUAGGUCAUAGGGACAGAGCCCUCAAGAAUUAGUUUAGUGUCCUUAUGAAAAGAAACAUGAGUGAGAUGAUAACUUUCUAGACAAAAUGGGAAUACAAGGUGAAGAUAGCCAUCUGCAAACUCUGAUGUGGGCCCUCACCAGACACAGAAUAUUCCUGGCCUUCAUUUUGGACUUUGCAGCCUCUAGAAUUGUGAAUGGGUCCUCAUCCUAGAGUCUAGGUGGUCUCUGGAAGCGAAAAGCAACCCCUGGCUGACAGCCAGCAAAGCAGCAGGGACUGUAGUCCUAAACCUGAUGAAAUGAAAUUCUGCCCAAAACAGAAAUGAGCCUGGAAAUGAAUUCUUUCCCAGAGUCUCCAGA